rnacentral:rRNA from 1 species
UCAGGUGACUAUAGCACAAGGGUUCCACCUCUUCCCAUUCCGCACAGAGAAGUUAAGCCUUGUCACGCCGAUGGUACUGCGUAACAGUGGGAGAGUAGGUAGUCGCCACUU